CGCCAGCCCGCUCAGAAACUUAAGGAAUUGACGGGGCCCCGGCACAAGCGGUGGAGCAUGUGGUUUAAUUCGAUGAUACGCGAGGAACCUUACCUGGGCUCAAAUGUAUGUUGACGUAUUCUGAAAGGGAUACUUCUUCGGACAAUAUACAAGGUGCUGCAUGGUUGUCGUCAGCUCGUGUCGUGAGAUGUUGGGUUAAGUCCCGCAACGAGCGCAACCCUUGUGUUUAGUUGCAAACAGGUCAAGCUGUGCACUCUAGACAGACUGCCGUGGACAACACGGAGGAAGGUGGGGAUGACGUCAAAUCAUCAUGCCCCUUAUGAUCUGGGCUACACACGUGCUACAAUGGCCGGUACAACGGGCAGCGAAGGAGCGAUCCGGAGCGAAUCCUAAAAAGCCGGUCCCAGUUCGGAUUGCAGGCUGAAACUCGCCUACAUGAAGUUGGAGUUGCUAGUAAUCGCGAAAUCAGAAUGUCGCGGUGAAUGCGUUCCCGGGUCUU
rnacentral:rRNA from 1 species